rnacentral:rRNA from 1 species
UACGUAGGGUGCAAGCGUUGUCCGGAAUUAUUGGGCGUAAAGCGCGUGUAGGCGGCUUGUUAUGUCGGGUGUGAAAGCCCUCAGCUUAACUGAGGAAGUGCGCCCGAAACUGGCGAGCUUGAGUGCCGGAGAGGAUAGCGGAACACCCGGUGUAGAGGUGAAAUUCGUAGAUAUCGGGUAGAACACCAGUGGCGAAGGCGGCUAUCUGGACGGACACUGACGCUGAGACGCGAAAGCGUGGGGAGCAAACAGG